AUUAGAGUGGUGCAGUGGAAGUGUGGUGGGCUUAUAACCCACGGGUCCCAGGAUCGAAUCCUGGCUCUGAUA